rnacentral:rRNA from 1 species
AUGUCUUUUUGAAUAUAAUUUAAAGUCAAAUYUGCUCCAUGAAUAAUUUAAAUAGCUGCAGAAUAUUAACUGUACAAAGGUAGCAUAAUCAAUAGUUUUUUAAUUAGAAGCUGGAAUGAAUGAUUUAAUAAGGUAAAUAUUGUCUCAAUUUUAAUAAAAUUAAAAUUUUUUUUUUAGUAAAAAUACUAAAUUUAAUUUAAAAGACGAGAAGACCCUAUAGAUUUUUAUAAUUUUAUUUAAUAAAAUUUAAAUUUAAAAAUAAAUUUUAAUGAAAAAUUAUUUGAUUGGGGAAAUUAUUAAAUUUAAUUAAUUUUAAUUAUUUUUAAACAAAAAUUAUUGGAUUAUUGAUCUUUUUUAUAAAUUGAAAGAAUAAAUUACCUUAGGGAUAACAGCGUAAUUUUUUUUGGAGAGAUCUAAUUGAUAAAAAAGUUUGCGACCUCGAUGUUGAAUUAAGAUAAAAUUUUAAUGAAGAAGUUAAAAAUUUUUGGUCUGUUCGACCAUUAAAAUCUUAC